GACGAACGCUGGCGGCGUGCCUAAUACAUGCAGGUAGAACGCACAGUUUAUACCGUAGCUUGCUACACCAUAGACUGUGAGUUGCGAACGGGUGAGUAACGCGUAGGUAACCUGCCUGGUAGCGGGGGAUAACUAUUGGAAACGAUAGCUAAUACCGCAUAAUAUUGAUUAUUGCAUGAUAAUUAAUUGGAAGGUGCAAUUGCACCACUACCAGAUGGACCUGCGUUGUAUUAGCUAGUAGGUGAGGUAACGGCUCACCUAGGCGACGAUACAUAGCCGCCCUGAGAGGGUGAUCGGCCACACUGGGACGGAGACCCGGCCCAGACUCCUACGGGAGGCAGCAGUAGGGAAUCUUCGGCAAUGGACGAAAGUCUGACCGAGCAACGCCGCGUGAGUGAAGAAGGGUGUCGGAUCGUAAAGCUCGGUUGUAAGAGAAGAACGGGUGUGAGAGUGGAAAGUUCACACUGUGACGGUAUCUUACCAGAAAGGGACGGCUAACUACGUG
rnacentral:rRNA from 1 species